GACGAACGCUGGCGGCGUGCUUAACACAUGCAAGUCGAACGGAAAGGCCCUGCUUGCCGGGUGCUCGAGUGGCGAACGGGUGAGUAACACGUGGGUGAUCUGCCCCUUACUUUGGGAUAAGCCUGGGAAACUGGGUCUAAUACUGGAUAGGACCAUGCUGUAGGUGGUGUGGUGGAAAGAUUAGUUUCGGUAAGGGAUGAGCUCGCGGCCUAUCAGCUUGUUGGUGGGGUAAUGGCCUACCAAGGCGUCGACGGGUAGCCGGCGUGAGAGGGUGGACGGCCACAUUGGGACUGAGAUACUGCCCAGACGCCUACGGGAGGCAGCAGUGGGGAAUAUUGCACAAUGGGCGCAAGCCGGAUGCAGCGACGCCGCGGGGGGGAUGACGGCCUUCGGGUUGUAAACUCCUUUCAGCCAUGACGAAGCCCUUGUGGUGACGGUAGUGGUAGAAGAAGCACCGGCUAACUACGUG
rnacentral:rRNA from 1 species